rnacentral:rRNA from 1 species
GAACGGUAACGGCCCGUUCGGGGUACACGAGGUGGCGGAACGGGUGAGUAACACGUGGGUGAUCUGCCCUGCACUUCGGGAUAAGCCUGGGAAACUGGGUCUAAUACCGGAUAGGACCAUGGACUUCACGGUUUGUGGUGGAAAGCUUUUGCGGUGUGGGAUGGGCCCGCGGCCUAUCAGCUUGUUGGUGGGGUAAUGGCCUACCAAGGCGACGACGGGUAGCCGGCCUGAGAGGGUGUCCGGCCACACUGGGACUGAGAUACGGCCCAGACUCCUACGGGAGGCAGCAGUGGGGAAUAUUGCACAAUGGGCGCAAGCCUGAUGCAGCGACGCCGCGUGAGGGAUGACGGCCUUCGGGUUGUAAACCUCUUUCAAUAGGGACGAAGCGCAAGUGACGGUACCUAUAGAAGAAGCACCGGCCAACUACGUG